GGCCGGGUCCCAGCCGCAGCAGGCCCCACCCCCUCGACCCCCUGUGGCCCGGCCCUCCCCUCGCGCUCCUCUCCCCCCUCCCGCCAGGCACCGCAGCCACUUCCGCCCGUCCUCCGGAAGUAGGGCCCGGGCAACCGCUGCCUCCUCACAUCCCGCCCAUUGGCCUGGCCCUCGCCGCUCCAUCAUCACCACCGCCGCCGCCACGGGAGCACGGGAGAUCUACAAUACCGCAGUAACAUCCAGAGAAGAGCUGGAAGAGUGAGCAGCCCUGGGUACAGAGGAGACUGGAGCAGGCAUGGAAGAAUCUUGGGUUCUGGUGAUUCACUGUGUAGAACUUUUCCCAUGAAGAGGCUAUGGAAUCAAAACUGAGAAAGAGGAGGAGAAAAAAAGUUAUAAAAUGUUGACGAUUUAACUUGGCAAGUUAUGAGGAAAAAAAACUGGAUUUCUAGGCCAGAAUUAAAAUAUGAGUUUUACUGCUUCCAAUGAAAGAAAAAAAAUGCUAUAAAAUAGAAUGCAUCUAAAAACAUGUUAGAAAAUCAGUUGCACAUUGUAGAAAUCUGAACCAGGAGGGCCAAGUUUGUAGAAUAAUGGAAAAUAGAAAAUAGUUGUUCCCGGGACAAAACAACAUACAUCAUCCCAUUAAAAAAGAGAGAAUCUGGGGAUGCAGGAGUCUGUCCUCCACAGGAGGAGCUAUGGCAAAGAGGAUACGAGCACACCCUAGUCCAUGCAGCCUUGAGUUCAAAUGCUGCCAUCAAAACCUUGUACCCACCCCCUCACUUGCUGAAUAGGAAAGUAUACAAAUUAAGACAUGAAAGAAAGAACUUCAGGUCUUGGCAAGAAGUUAGAAGAAAUGGAAGCUCAGUUAAAGAAAAUGUUAAUUCUAAAAGUAGAUGAGAUGUUAGAAAAUAUAGAAAGUCAGUUAAAAUAUUUAAAAAUAAGUCCAGGCACAAAACAGCUGACUAAGAGAUGAGGAAACAAAGUUACAGAUACUUUGUACAACUUCAACAGAGCUCCAUAGCCAGGACUUACCCAGACUGCUUCAAGACCCUCUAUGUGGCUGUUAGCCAGUAUGCUGCUUCUCACAGUUAUAUGUAGAACUGCAGACUGAAAGACUGGCCUGCCCUGUGGGGUUAGACAUCCUCCCUCCCCCCCCCCAAAUAAAAGCCAAAAACAUACUUCAUCAUUCCUUGCAUUAGUUUUCCAAAAAUUGCCACAUGGUAACACUGCUGGUUAGUUUUUUGUUACCUUGGCACAACUUAGAGUCAUCUGGGAAAAGAGAAACCUCAUUUGAGAAAAUGUCCCUAGUAUGCUGGCCUGUAGACAAACCUACAGGCAUUUCUUGAUUAGUGAUUGAUGUGGGAGGACCCAGCCCACUGGGGGUGGUACCAACCUGAACAGGUAGGUGGGUUUUGGGUUGUAUUAGAAAGCAAACUGAGCAAGUCAGUAAGUUGUAUUUCUCCAUGGCUUCUGUUUCAGCUCCUACCUGGAUAAGCUGAAAUAAAUCUUUUCCUCUCCAA